rnacentral:rRNA from 1 species
AUUGAACGCUGGCGGCAGGCCUAACACAUGCAAGUCGAACGGUAACAGGAAUCAGCUUGCUGAUUCGCUGACGAGUGGCGGACGGGUGAGUCAUGUCUGGGAAACUGCCUGAUGGAGGGGGAUAACUACUGGAAACGGUAGCUAAUACCGCAUCACGUCGCAAGACCAAAGAGGGGGACCUUCGGGCCCUUUGCCAUCGGAUCUGCCCAGAUGGGAUUAGCUAGUAGGUGGGGGAACGGCUCACCUAGGCGACGAACCCUAGCUGGGCGGAGAGGAUGACAAGCCACACUGGAACUGAGACACGGUCCAGACUCCUACGGGAGGCAGCAGUGGGGAAUAUUGCACAAUGGGCGCAAGCCUGAUGCAGCCAUGCCGCGUGUAUGAAGAAGGCCUUCGGGUUGUAAAGUACUUUCAGCGAGGAGGAAGGUGUUGUGGUUAAUAACCACAGCAAUUGACGUUACUCGCAGAAGAAGCACCGGCUAACUCCGUGCCAGCAGCCGCCGCCG